GACGAACGCUGGCGGCGCGCUUAACACAUGCAAGUCGAGCGAUGAAAUUUCGACAGAUCCCUUCGGGGUGAAGAUGAACUGGAUUAGCGGCGGACGGGUGAGUAACACGUGAGUAACCUGCCUUUGACAUUGGGAUAGCCUCGGGAAACUGGGAUUAUUACCAACUGACACUAACUGAUCACAUGAUCAAUUAGUCAAAGAAAUUCGGUCAAAGAUGGACUCGCGGCUGAUUAGCUAGUUGGUGAGGUAACGGCCCACCAAGGCGACGAUCAGUAGCCGGCCGGAGAGGGUGAUCGGCCACAUUGGAACUGAGACACGGACCGGACUCCUGCGGGAGGCAGCAGUAGGGAAUAUUGCGCAAUGGAGGAAAGCCGUAGGCAGCGACGCCGCGUGAGCGAAGAAGGCCUUCGGGUCGUAAAGCUCUUUUGUGAGUGAAGAUAAUGACGGUACCUCGAGAAAAAGCCCCGGCUAACUACGUG
rnacentral:rRNA from 1 species